AACGUAGGGUGCGAGCGUUAUCCGGAUUUACUGGGCGUAAAGCGCACGUAGGCGGCGUUGUAAGUUGGACGUGAAAGCUCCUGGCUUAACUGGGAGAGGUCGUUCAAUACUGCAGUGCUUGAGGUUGGCAGAGGAGAGUGGAAUUCCCGGUGUAGUGGUGGAAUGCGUAGAUAUCGGGAGGAACACCUGUGGCGAAGGCGGCUCUCUGGACCACACCUGACGCUGAGGUGCGAAAGCGUGGGGAGCGAACGGG
rnacentral:rRNA from 1 species